UGCAAGAAGGUUGAUCAAUAAGGUGAUCAUGAUAAUUACAAGUCAUUCAGAAAAUAUAUAGAUAAAGGUUGAAAGCAAAGCCGUGAAUAAUAUACACAGUUAUGACAAUAGAUAAAUGUAUAUAUAUGAGUAUUCCAAUAGCGAGAAGACAGGUGCACGUUACAAAAGGACAUGAUAUAUACAGCAUGUUGUACGUAAACGGUAAAUCUCAAAUGAAAUAGAGCCUUACGUAUAUAUAUAAAGUUAUAUAUACAAGUGUACGUAACGUGUUUUUGUAUGUGUAGAAUGUGGGGGAUGCAAAAGCUUUGUGAAGUAGUUAAAUACCAAGUAUGAUACUCAAUAUACAUAGGGUCCCCAUAUAGGUCAUGUGUUUUUGUCUCUCAAACAAUCUAUAUUCGUAUAUGUACCAGAACUAGAUUAUAACAUAUUCUUUAGCUUACGAUCAAAUUAAUUUACUAUAUGCUUUUAAUCUUUUAUAAAAAUGCAAUUCUAAUAGCAGAUUCGACUAAAAUCUAGCUAUGGUAACUCUAAAAUCACUGGUGUAUCUUAAAUACAUGUCCUCAGUAAAUCUAUCGAUCAGAUCAAAAAUAAAAAUAGAAGCCAAGAUUGGUACGAAACCAUACAAUGGCAACUUUUUAUUUAAUUUGCCAAUAUAUAUAUUUGACAUUAUUACGGCAUGUUCUAUAUAUUUAAGUGUUUCCAUCUUCCACACUUCUCCACAUUAUCAUCAGCUGUUGCUUUUUUCAACCAUAUCUUAAAUAUAAUCUUAUAAGUAAAGCGUAAACAAAGUUGUUAAAGUGAUUAUAAGUUUGUGAUUAGUCGUCACAGUCUUAAAUCACCUUAUAGACUUAUAGUUCUUACCCUUUUGUUUCAGGCAGCAAUCAGCAUCAAAGCCAGAGAGUCAGAGCAGCUGUUGUAUCUAGCCUCCAUGCAAAGCCACCAAACUCCAUUUUCCACACAUCACACGGCACCGUUUUGGUAUACUUUGUUUCUUGCCACGUGUACUGCAUCCUCACCCUACACGUGAAAGCUCGGUAGUUACAAUACAUCGCCACCGUCGACUCCUCCGCCACCAACCAAACCACAACAUCCGGCAACGACGACGACGAAUCUUCACCGGAAACAUUCCUCCGGUAAGCCUCGUUAACCCACACCACACGGUUCGAGCCGUCCGAUACGAAAGCUGGACACGUGUCCUUGCCUAGAUUGUCCACCAUCUCAGCGUCCGUACACUCCACCGCAUGGGAACUCGAACUACCGUCACAGACCCCUGUUACGGACUCCACCGUGACCCACGUCUCCACCUCCACCGUUGCGCCGCCGUUAAACGUACCCCACGCGUUGGUUUCUCGUGUUUUCUCUCCGAUUAUCGUUUUCACCGUCGGAUCGAGACUAUCCUGAUCUAACGGCGUGUAUUCGCCGGAAAGAUCGGCUUUUUCAGGCAGAAGUUGCAGCGUCACGGCUCUAGAUUGUUCCCGAUCAUCAGAAAGGUCAGAUCUGCUCUUUCCUCGACACGUGCUUUUAUUAUUCUUGGAAACCUUAACGUACUUUCGUUUGGUUCGUUUGCUCAUACUGUUGUUGUUGUUAUCUCCUGCAGCGCAUGGAUUACCAGUCGUCGGUUUUGGAGCGAUCGGACGGUACCGGAGCAUGAGAGUAUCAACGGAAACCUUAUCUUGCGCUUUACCGGCGUAUCUUAGCGUUCCCUGCAGCCACUCAUCUUGAUCCAUUAUCUUUCUCUCUCUUCUCA
rnacentral:lncRNA from 1 species